rnacentral:lncRNA from 1 species
GAUGCCCACUGGAUCCAAAGAGAGAAACUCUAUGGAAUUAUGAUCUAGGUUUGACUGACUCCUGGCAACAAGCUCUACCUACCAGCCAAUUUGGAUGAGGCAAAAUUAGAAGAAUUCUGGAUUUGAAGUCAAGAGACUUAUAUUUGAAUAUCCACUCUGGAAAAGUCAGAUACAUUCUCUUCUCUCUGACAUUCAGUUUUUUAUUUGUUAAAAGAGGGAAACAAUUCUAGGGCUUUCAUGAUAACAAACAAGAUUAUUGUCUGAAAAAAAAAACUUCGUAAAUAGUAAAGUGAUAUAGAAAUGCAG